GGGAGUAGCCCGCUAGCCCACGUAAGCACGGUUUCAGUUCAAAACCAUUCUCCACUGUUGCUCCUGUCCUGUUCCUCCGCUUCCUCUGUCUCUGUCUCGUCGUCUCCCCCAUCUGGCCAUCUCCGGCUAGGGUUUGCCCUCCCACCACGUCCGAGGUCUAGCUCGUCUCCGCCACUGCCGGACCAAGGAUGUCGCAAGAGCAAGGUAUGGAGGAGCCGCCGCCGCAGGCGGUAGGCGAGGCACAAUCGGCCGCCGAUGUCCCCAUGAGCGAGGCCGCAGCGGUGGAGGAUGAGGAUGAGGAACCCGUCAUGGGGGAGGGGCAGGGCGGUGAAAGCGGGACCGCCGAUGCCGUUGAUUCCGUCAAGGCUUCAGUGAAGCCCGAAGCAGAGGGCGCGGAGGAAGGGGACAGAGAGGAGCUUAAUGGUGGCCCGACGGCGGAUUUGACUGACGAGGUUGUGAAAUUGGAGAACGGGGAUGGCCCCGUGCCGGUGGGUGGCUCCGCGGAUGAGUGCGGAGCUGGAGAUGGCGGUGUUGAUAAGGGCCUGGUUGGUCAGAAUGAGCCUGUUGUGAACCAGCUUGUGCUGGUGCAGGCUGAGGAGGAGCUGGCAUUGUCUAAGAUCUCAAACAGUUCCUUCAUGUUCGAUUACACCACUGGGGGUGAUGACUCAGGGACUGAGGAGGAGCAGGCUGCCUUCAUGAAGGAGCUGGAGCGUUUCCACAGGGAGAAAAUGUUGGAGUUCAAGCCCCCUAAGUUUUAUGGUGAAGGAUUGAAUUGCCUCAAAUUGUGGAGACAAGUUACUGGAUUGGGUGGCUAUGAUCAGGUGACAUCAUGCAAGCUGUGGCGUCAAGUGGGAGAGUCAUUCAAACCUCCAAAGACAUGUACAACUGUUUCAUGGACUUUCCGUAACUUCUAUGAGAAGGCACUCCUUGAAUAUGAGAAACACAAAAUCGAAACAGGAGAGUUCCAAGUAGCUUCAUCUGCUCUACCAGAUCGAGUUGGUUCUGAGAGCCAGGUGGGUGGAAGCCACGUAUCUGGUUCUGGAAGAGCCAGAAGAGAAUCUGCAACUCGUGCAAUGCAAGGCUGGCAUUCUCACCGCCUACUAGGCAAUGGUGAAAAUGCUGAUCCUAUAAUUAAGGAUAAAGGGCCUAUUGUCUUAAAGAAGGAUAAAACUCCUAAAAGCAGUGGUUCUGCCAAGAGGAAAAGGAUACCAUCCCUUGAAGAUGACAUGGUGAUACCUUAUAAAUCCGAUAAGCUACAAAAUGACUCAAUGGUUAUUGACAUGGGCCCUCCUGCUGAUUGGGUGAAAAUAAAUGUUAGGAAAACCUUCUCAGUUCCGUUAAUUCCUGAAGCAAAAUUUGGAGUGUUGAAUGCCAGUGAAUGUGUGAACUGCUGAUUCUUUAUGAAAUAAAGAUUGCUAUGAAGUCUAUGCAUUGGUUCCUGGCCUUCUGCGUGAAGAGGUACAUGUUCAGUCUGACCCUGCUGGUCGUUUGAUAGUUACUGGAGAGCCCGAGCAAUUGGAUAACCCAUGGGGUGUCACUCCAUUCAAGAAGGUCAUUAGGUUGCCUUCCCGCAUUGAUCCUCACCAAACCUCUGCAGUUGUCACCCUCCAUGGGCAGCUAUUUGUGCGUGCACCAUUUGAACAAUCAAAAUAAUGUUGAUGCCACAAUGAAGCACAAUACUACAAGUUUGCCUUAUGAGUGGGAUUAUACCGUUAUGACAUGAGCUUAGAAGUGCUCACCCUGACCGUCCUCCAAAACUAGUUCCUUGCUGAUUUUAAUGCUUCAAGCCUCCUCCAUGCUAGAUCUCUCAUGUAUCAAGUUAAACUCAUUAGUUGACAUAGUUCUGUGUGUAUUCGGUUGUGCCCGUUGGCUGUGAAUUGUAGCUAAAGCAAAGUUACUAAGCCUAGAGUUUAGGAUGUUGAUAGUCUGAUGCUCAACAUGUCCAUGGUUUCUUUUCAAUUUAGUCGGCAUAGAAUGUACUGUUUGUAGCAAUGUAGUAUGUAGCUUGUUCCCAGUAUUUAAGCUCCGGAACAUGGAGAGCGGUAGAGAUUCAUUGUAUGUAACUGUUGCUGGUGCAUUGCAAUUGCUAUUCAACUUGUAUUGUCAAACAAUCUGAAACUCUAUGGCCUCCUUGUA